AGUCUCAACUCUGCUGCCUUUCUACACUGCAGUAAUAAUCCUCUUUUCCUUUAAACUUGCAGAGUCACAGAGAACUGCAGUAUGAAAUCAUGCUACUGAAGAACAAGUGUGUUGCCCAGUCAUUCAACCUGUAGAAUUUUUCAACAAGGCUGCUGCAUUCAUCAUCUAAGGGUGGAGAUGUCAGGUCGAAAAUGGAAUUAUUGCCCACUUCAUUGUAACAGAAAGGCUCUCUUUCUGUUCUUUGAUAAUUAGAGCAAUGCCAUGUCUGUGCUUCAGAAUUUCUCUGCCAGCAUAUUGUCAGGAAUAUUUGUUUUCUAGCAAGGAGCACUUCAAAGUAGACUUUUGGGGUGUUGCUGGGAAAUUGGAAUGCUUCGGUUUAAUUGCUUCACAUCAGGGACAGACAAUUUCCUGCAACUCCUCACUGGCCACCCUCCCGCAACAAACCCAAAUGCCUCAGUUGCCCUCUGUGGUCCUUGUCAAAAUGGUGACUGAAAGUGUCUUGGGAGACAGAAAGAAGGAGCAGCAGAUCAAAAGUCUGAAGGACUGAGCCCUGAAAGACAAAAGCUAGAAAACACAUUAAUUUUUGGUGUUUAACCUCAUGGAACAGAUGUGUCUUAUUCUAAGCUGAAACCUGAGAGCUUCUCCGCCUGUGAGCCAUCAGAGAACUGGAGGUUGAAGCAAAUUCUUAGACAGUCUUGGUCCCCAAAAGACUCUCAAAAUGGUCAAGUCUGAAGAGUCACGUAUUGCAAUUUUUUUUUCCAACACUAUACAAGUUUAUUUUUCUUCUUUUUAAAGCCAGAAGUCAGGGUUUUUGUUCAGACACCGACCAAGGGGGAAAAAAACAGGGUUCUUUGUCAUUGAACAAAAAAGUGAAAAAGGCAGCCAGUUAUCUUGUGUUACCAUUUCAAAUUGCCUUAAACCCUUGAAAGUAAAUAUAAAUGGACUCUACACUGUAGAAUUAAAGCUGUUUGACAAC
rnacentral:lncRNA from 11 species